rnacentral:rRNA from 1 species
GUGGGGAAUAUUGGACAAUGGGCGAAAGCCUGAUCCAGCCAUGCCGCGUGUGUGAAGAAGGUCUUCGGAUUGUAAAGCACUUUAAGUUGGGAGGAAGGGCAGUAAGUUAAUACCUUGCUGUUUUGACGUUACCGACAGAAUAAGCACCGGCUAACUUCGUGCCAGCAGCCGCGGUAAUACGAAGGGUGCAAGCGUUAAUCGGCAUUACUGGGCGUAAAGCGCGCGUAGGUGGUUUUGUAAGUUGGAGGUGAAAUCCCCGGGCUCAACCUGGGAACUGCCUCCAAAACUGCAUGACUAGAGUACGGUAGAGGGUAGUGGAAUUUCCUGUGUAGCGGUGAAAUGCGUAGAUAUAGGAAGGAACGCCAGUGGCGAAGGCGACUACCUGGACUGAUACUGACACUGAGGUGCGAAAGCGUGGGGAGCAAACAGGAUUAGAUACCCGGGUAGUCC